rnacentral:misc_RNA from 1 species
GAUGAAGAACGUAGUGAAAUGCGAUACGUAAUGUGAAUUGCAGAUUUCAGUGAAUCAUCGAAUCUUUGAACGCACAUUGCGCCCGCUAGUAUUCUGGCGGGCAUGCCUGUUCGAGCGUCAUUUCAACCAUCAAGCCCUAGGCUUGCGUUGGAGCCCUGCGGCUGCCGCAGGCUCCCAAAUCCAGUGGCGGGCUCGUCGUCGUACCGAGUGCAGUAAACAUCCUCGCUCAGGGAACGUGACGGGUUCUUGCCGUGAAACCCCCCACAUAUCAAGGUUGACCUCGGAUCAGGUAGGAAUACCCGCUGAACUUAAGCAUAUCAAUAAGCGGAGG